AUUGAACGCUGGCGGCAGGCCUAACACAUGCAAGUCGAGCGGAGCGGCGGACGGGUGAGUAAUGCCUAGGAAUCUGACUGGUAGUGGGGGAUAACGUCCGGCAAGGGGCGCUAAUACCGCAUAAUAUCAGAUGAGCCUAGGGCUGAUUAGCUAGUUGGUGGGGUAAAGGCAUACCAAGGCGACUAUCCGUAUCUGGUCUGAGAGGAUGAUCAGUACACCUGGAACUGAGACACGGUCCCACUGCCUCCGGUAGGCAGCAGUGGUGAAGUUUGGACAAUGGUCGAAAGCCUGAUCCAGCCAUGCCUCGGGUGUUAAGAAGGUCUUCGGAUUGUAAAGCACUUUAAGUUGGUAGGCGUUACCAACAUAAUAAGCACCGGCUAACUUCGUGCCAGCAGCCGCGGUAAUUC
rnacentral:rRNA from 1 species